rnacentral:rRNA from 1 species
UAGGGAAUCUUCCACAAUGGACGCAAGUCUAAUGGAGCAACGCCGCGUGAGUGAAGAAGGUUUUCGGAUCGUAAAGCUCUGUUGUUGGUGAAGAAGGAUAGAGGCAGUAACUGGUCUUUAUUUGACGGUAAUCAACCAGAGAGUCACGGCUAACUACAUGCAAG